rnacentral:rRNA from 1 species
UACGUAGGUGGCGAGCGUUAUCCGGAAUUAUUGGGCGUAAAGAGCGCGCAGGUGGUUGAUUAAGUCUGAUGUGAAAGCCCACGGCUUAACCGUGGAGGGUCAUUGGAAACUGGUCGACUUGAGUGCAGAAGAGAGAAGUGGAAUUCCAUGUGUAGCGGUGAAAUGCGUAGAGAUAUGGAGGAACACCAGUGGCGAAGGCGGCUUCCUGGUCUGUAACUGAUACUGAGGCGCGAAAGCGUGGGGAGCAAACAGGAUUAGA